rnacentral:rRNA from 1 species
AUUGAACGCUGGCGGCAUGCCUUACACAUGCAAGUCGAACGGCAGAACGGGAGCAAUCCUGGUGGCGAGUGGCGAACGGGUGAGUAAUACAUCGGAACGUGCCCUGGAGUGGGGGAUAACUAGUCGAAAGACUAGCUAAUACCGCAUACGACCUGAGGGUGAAAGGGGGGGACCGCAAGGCCUGAUGCUAUAGGAGCGGCCCAUGUCUGAUUAGCUAAUUGGUGGGGUAAAGGCCUACCAAGGCGACGAUCAGUAGCUGGUCUGAGAGGACGAUCAGCCACACUGGGACUGAGACACGGCCCAGACUCCUACGGGAGGCAGCAGUGGGGAAUUUUGGACAAUGGGGGCAACCCUGAUCCAGCAAUGCCGCGUGUGUGAAGAAGGCCUUCGGGUUGUAAAGCACUUUUGUCCGGAAAGAAAUCGCUUCGGUUAAUACCUGGAGUGGAUGACGGUACCGGAAGAGUAAGGACCGGCUAACUACGUGCCAGCCGCCGCAGUAAUAC